CAAAUUGAGUUUUUAUGAUUUUAAUUUAACAUUAGACUUAAGAAUAUGUGUAAGAAUUGAGAAUAAAUAUUUACUUUUUAUUUUAGAAAUGAACACACAAGAAAAUUUAAACGACGAUGAUGGUGACUUUUUUAGAAAAAAAUUAGAAGAUUUACAAAAGUCCAUAGCUGUUGCUUCUUCUGCUACAAGUAAGUUGUUCUAUUCACUUAUACUUACCUUAAUUUAUUGAUUAAUUGGUUUUAUUGCAUUUUUA